GAUGAACGCUAGCGGCAGGCCUAACACAUGCAAGUCGAGGGAGAAGCCCUUUCGGGGGCAGAAACCGGCGCACGGGUGCGUAACGCGUAUGCAACCUACCUUUCACAGGGGGAUAGCCCGAAGAAAUUUGGAUUAAUACCCCAUAAUAUUAUUGGAUGGCAUCAUUUGAUAAUUAAAACUGCGGUGGUGAAAGAUGGGCAUGCGUCCUAUUAGCUAGUUGGAGUGGUAACGGCACCCCAAGGCUACGAUAGGUAGGGGUCCUGAGAGGGAGAUCCCCCACACUGGUACUGAGACAGGGACCAGACUCCUACGGGAGGCAGCAGUGAGGAAAAUUGGUCAAUGGUCGGAAGACUGAACCAGCCAUGCCGCGUGCAGGAAGAAUGCCUUAUGGGUUGUAAACUGCUUUUAUAUGGGAAGAAUAAGGCGUACGUGUACGUUGAUGACGGUACCAUAUGAAUAAGCAUCGGCUAACUCCGUG
rnacentral:rRNA from 1 species